rnacentral:rRNA from 1 species
GACGAACGCUGGCGGCGUGCCUAAUACAUGCAAGUCGAACGCAGUGGGGACGGGUGAGUAACACGUGGGUAACCUCCCAUCCGCGGGGAUAACACUUGGAAACAGGUGCUAAACCGAUACUGAUGGAUGGACCCGCGGUGCAUUAGCUAGUGGGUGAGGUAACAGCUCACCAAGGCCACGAUGCAUAGCCGACCUGAUAGGGGGAUCGGCCACACUGGGACUGAGACACGGCCCAGACUCCUACGGGAGGCAGCAGUAGGGAAUCUUCGGCAAUGGACGAAAGUCUGACCGAGCAACGCCGCGUGAGUGAAGAAGGUUUUCGGAGCGUAAAACUCUGUUGUUAGAGAAGCGGUAUCUAACCAGAAAGCCACGGCUAACUACGUGCCAGCAGCCGCGGUAAUUC